rnacentral:misc_RNA from 1 species
GAUGAAGAACGUAGCGAAAUGCGAUAAGUAGUGUGAAUUGCAGAAUUCAGUGAAUCAUCGAAUCUUUGAACGCACAUUGCGCCCCCUGGUAUUCCGGGGGGCAUGCCUGUCCGAGCGUCAUUACAACCCUCAAGCUCAGCUUGGUGUUGGGCCCCGCCGCCCCGGCGGGCCCUAAAGUCAGUGGCGGUGCCGUCCGGCUCCGAGCGUAGUAAUUCUUCCCGCUCUGGAGGUCCGGUCGUGUGCUCGCCAGCAACCCCCAAUUUUUUUCAGGUUGACCUCGGAUCAGGUAGGGAUACCCGCUGAACUUAAGCAUAUCAAUAAGCGGAGGA